GAUGAACGCUGGCGGCGUGCCUAAUACAUGCAAGUCGAGCGAACAGACGCGGAGCUUGCUCCUCUGACGUUAGCGGCGGACGGGUGAGUAACACGUGGAUCACCUACCUAUCAGACUGGUAUCACUUCGGGAAACCGGAGCUAAUACCGGAUAAUAUCUUGAACCGCAUGGUUCAAUAGUGAAAUACGGCUUUGCUGUCUCUUAUAGAUGGAUCUGCGCCGCAUUAGCUAGUUGGUAAGGUAAAGGGCUACCAAGGCAACGAUGCGUAGCCGACCGGAUAGGGGGAUCGGCCACACUGGAACUGAGACACGGUCCAGACUCCUACGGGAGGCAGCAGUAGGGAAUCUGACGCAAUGGGCGAAAGCCUGACGGAGCAACGCCGCGUGAGUGAUAAAGGUCUUCGGAGCGUAAAACUCUGUUAUUAGGGAAGAACAAAUGUGGAAGUAACUAUGCACUGCUUGACGGUACCUAAUCAGAAAGCCACGGCUAACUACGUG
rnacentral:rRNA from 1 species